rnacentral:lncRNA from 1 species
AAAGAUGAAAAUAGUGUGACCUAACCUACGAAGAUUAAAUGAAGGAUGCCCAAGUAUGUUUUCCUCUAUUGCACAGAAAAUGGUCUUUGCAAACUCCUACUAGUGCUCUGUCUCACUUUCAUCUGUUACCGGCCAUUUGUCCAUCUGAUUCUUCUUCUGCCUCAUUCAAUCAUGAAGAUUUGACUUGUAUUAAGUAUGCAUUUUUUAUUGAAUGUAGAGCAAUAAUGUGCAGAAAGUAUUCAAAUUCCUCGGAUAUUCUACAGAUCGAGGACAAACCUAAGUCCCAAUAUGAUUCUCACCAAAUGCCGAACUCUCCCUCUCACUCUGCUAUUUUCAUUUUUAUUAGAAAAGGUUUGACACCAAAUGCAAACCUUUUCUGCUACAUGCCUGGUUUAUAAGAAACCAUUACUUUGUACUUGUGUUUCAUAUAUUGACUGGUGACAGGUGGUAUGAAGGAAUACAUUGAGAUUUAAUUAGCAGCAGUUCCUUGUUGCACAUGAUCCCUCAGCUUGCAUAUUUGUUUUUGGUACUUGCAGGUACACAUACAAGCUGGGGCAUAGGUUAGUUAAUGGUACAACAGUUUGGAGUCAAGAAUAUCAGUUUAAAUC